AUUUGCUGAGUCAUGGUGAAGGAGUGAGUCUCGGAGCAGGAAGCCAGGAAUAAGGGGCACUGGCCCCUGUGGGUUUCCAAUGCAGAGCAGGGAGACUUUGAGGACCUCAGUCUUUUGUCCUAGAAAGGCUGCUCCCACUGCAUAGUGCCUUGCUAUUGUUUGAAGCAAAUACUAAAUCAUCAUCAAUGUAUGUUUAAAAACCAAUUAAGUGGGCUAUUUAGAUCAACUGCUGUUAUUUAGUUAACUAGCUAGUCAGUCGAGACAGGAUCUCACUAUGUAGUCCCGGCUAGCCUUGAAUGUGUGAUCUCCUGGCUGUCUUCUCCGUGCCCGGACUUCAGUUAUGUACUCCAGGACAGUCCAGUUUACAUAAACUCUGUGAGAAAACAGAUGCCCACGAGUUGUUCUGCAAUCUCGCGUGAACCCACCCCAUGAGUAAAUAAGAGGAAGGAAAAUCCGAUUUUAAAAGGGAAAGACUCUGGCCCUGCUGUUGUGGGGUGACCGCCGGGCACCAGGGACUGCAGUGGGGUCUUUUACACACAACAGCACUGUCUGAGAUCUGGGUCAGCACCCUCCCUUCCGCACCACACUGGAAACCUUGAAGUACCGCGCAAAUGGGGGCUGUGCCGGCUUCUGAGAAUGAAGGAGUGAAAUGAUGGUAUCUGGUUCUCAAGGCUCAUCCAGGGGAAUUCAUGGCACCCACCCCCACCCUUCCCCGUGACAAAGAACAUUUCUUGCCUCAUGGGACAUCUAGUAGACUUAAGGGAAUACCCCACGGGGCGUGUCUGGGCUGCUAUCAGCUGAGCUGUUGCUGACAUCGGGGUGUAACAGGUCCCCAUGGGAGCCGUGGAGGAGAGGACAGACACAGCAAGCGUCCGGCUGCAGAAGGAAUGAGACAGGGACAGGAAGAGCCCAGGAAGCACAAACACGGCCUUCAAGUCCCUGCAGCCAGUCCUUUCUGAGACUCUCACCAUUCCUGCCCCGGGGUUCUGGGAUACACCUAUACAUUUGUUCACUUUUGUUAAAAGGAGCUCUCAUUGGUAAUUUGCAACCAACAAGCGUUAAUUACCCCACUAGAAACAACACACUCAGAACCAACAAUGUGGUGACUCAACCAUAUUCUUUCUAACACAGAGCUUAACAUUUCCACCAUUUUAGGUGUACAGUGUGGCAGCAUUACAUAUUCACCUUGCUGUGAGUCAAAACUCCCCUCCGUCUGGUCCUCCACGAUGAGUGUUGCCAAUAAUAAAUGAGUGAUGCUGUCUAUCAGCAUUGAGACGAAUUUAA